rnacentral:rRNA from 1 species
UACGAAGGGGGCUAGCGUUGUUCGGAAUUACUGGGCGUAAAGCGCACGCCGGUGGAUUUAUAAGUCAGGGGUGAAAUCCCGGGGCUCAACCUCGGAAUUGCCUUUGAUACUGUCUAUCUUGAGUCCGGGAGAGGUGAGUGGAAUUCCUAGUGUAGAGGUGAAAUUCGUAGAUAUUAGGAAGAACACCAGUGGCGAAGGCGGCUCACUGGCCCGGUACUGACGCUGAGGUGCGAAAGCGUGGGGAGCAAACAGG